rnacentral:rRNA from 1 species
AGUGGCGGACGGGUGAGUAACGCGUGGGUAACCUGCCUCAUACAGGGGGAUAACAGUUAGAAAUGACUGCUAAUACCGCAUAAGACCACAGCACCGCAUGGUGCAGGGGUAAAAACUCCGGUGGUAUGAGAUGGACCCGCGCCUGAUUAGGUAGUUGGUGGGGUAACGGCCUACCAAGCCGACGAUCAGUAGCCGACCUGAGAGGGUGACCGGCCACAUUGGGACUGAGACACGGCCCAA